UACGUAGGGGCAAGCGUUAUCCGGAUUUACUGGGUGUAAAGGGAGCGCAGACGGCAGUGCAAGUCUGAUGUGAAAGCCCGGGGCUCAACCCCGGAACUGCAUUGGAAACUGUGCAGCUUGGGUGUCGGAGAGGUAAGCGGAAUUCCUAGUGUAGCGGUGAAAUGCGUAGAUAUUAGGAGGAACACCGGUGGCGAAGGCGGCUUACUGGACGAUUACUGACGUUGAGGCUCGAAAGCGUGGGGAGCAAACAGGAUUAGAUACCCUGGUAGUCCCU
rnacentral:rRNA from 1 species